GAAUUCGAUUCAGGCCUAACACAUGCAAGUCGAGCGAGAAGACGUAGCAAUACGUUUGUAAAGCGGAGAACGGGUGAGGAAUACAUGGGUAACCUACCCUCGAGUGGGGAAUAACUAGCCGAAAGGUUAGCUAAUACCGCAUACGAUUCCUGGUCUGCGGAUCGGGAAGGAAAGCGAUACCGUGGGUAUCGCGCUCUUGGAUGGGCUCAUGUCCUAUCAGCUUGUUGGUGAGGUAACGGCUCACCAAGGCUUCGACGGGUAGCUGGUCUGAGAGGACGAUCAGCCACACUGGCACUGCGACACGGGCCAGACUCCUACGGGAGGCAGCAGUAAGGAAUAUUGCGCAAUGGGCGACAGCCUGGCGCAGCGACGCCGCGUGGGGGAUGAAGGUCUUCGGAUUGGAAACCCCUUUCGGCAGGGAAGAUGGAACGGGUAACCGUUCGGACGGUA
rnacentral:rRNA from 1 species